rnacentral:rRNA from 1 species
UGAACGCUGGCGGCGUGCCUAAUACAUGCAAGUCGAGCGAACAGACGAGGAGCUUGCUCCUCUGACGUUAGCGGCGGACGGGUGAGUAACACGUGGAUAACCUACCUAUAAGACUGGGAUAACUUCGGGAAACCGGAGCUAAUACCGGAUAAUAUAUUGAACCGCAUGGUUCAAUAGUGAAAGACGGUUUUGCUGUCACUUAUAGAUGGAUCCGCGCCGCAUUAGCUAGUUGGUAAGGUAACGGCUUACCAAGGCAACGAUGCGUAGCCGACCUGAGAGGGUGAUCGGCCACACUGGAACUGAGACACGGUCCAGACUCCUACGGGAGGCAGCAGUAGGGAAUCUUCCGCAAUGGGCGAAAGCCUGACGGAGCAACGCCGCGUGAGUGAUGAAGGUCUUCGGAUCGUAAACUCUGUUAUUAGGGAAGAACAAAUGUGUAAGUAACUAUGCACGUCUUGACGGUACCUAAUCAGAAAGCCACGGCUAACUACGUG